rnacentral:rRNA from 1 species
CUACGGGUCGCUCCAGUGGGGAAUAUUGCACAAUGGAGGAAACUCUGAUGCAGCAACGCCGCGUGGAGGAUGACACUUUUCGGAGCGUAAACUCCUUUUAUAUAGGAAGAAGAUGACGGUACUAUAUGAAUAAGCGCCGGCUAACUCCGUGCCAGCAGCCGCGGUAAUACGGAGGGCGCAAGCGUUACUCGGAAUCACUGGGCGUAAGGAGCGUGUAGGCGGAUUAAAAAGUCAGAAGUGAAAUCCUAUAGCUUAACUAUAGAACUGCUUCUGAAACUCUUAAUCUAGAAUAUGGGAGAGGUAGAUGGAAUUUCUGGUGUAGGGGGAAAAUCCGUAGAGAUCAGAAGGAAUACCGAUUGCGAAGGCGAUCUACUAGAACAUUAUUGACGCUGAGACGCGAAAGCGUGGGGAGCAAACAGGAUUAGAUACCCCCGUAGUC